rnacentral:rRNA from 1 species
UACGGAGGGUGCAAGCGUUGUCCGGAUUUAUUGGGUUUAAAGGGUGCGUAGGCGGCUUUUUAAGUCAGCGGUGAAAGUUUUCGGCUCAACCGGAAAAAUGCCGUUGAUACUGGGGAGCUUGAGUCACGGAAGGGUACAUGGAAUUGGUGGUGUAGCGGUGAAAUGCAUAGAUACCAUCAGGAACACCGAUAGCGAAGGCAUUGUACUUGCCGUGAACUGACGCUGAGGCACGAAAGCGCGGGUAGCGAACAGG